rnacentral:rRNA from 1 species
AAAUUGAAGAGUUUGAUCAUGGCUCAGAUUGAACGCUGGCGGCAGGCCUAACACAUGCAAGUCGAACGGUAACAGGAAGCAGCUUGCUGCUUUGCUGACGAGUGGCGGACGGGUGAGUAAUGUCUGGGAAACUGCCUGAUGGAGGGGGAUAACUACUGGAAACGGUAGCUAAUA